AGAGAACAAUAUUUGAGAACUAAGCUUUAGUCUGAACAACUCAAGAGAUGAAUUUCCUGGAGCCCUCAGAUCUCUGCACACUAGCUGAUCCUUUGAAAAUGACCCAGGAAAAGUAUACGCAGAAUAUCAACAACUGGCUGGUGUAGUCAUGGGGAAGCCCAUGACUUGAAUCCUGUUCCACUAAGCGAAGACGUCUCACUCUUCCCCACCAAUGCAUCUUUGUGUUGCUGUAGAGAGUCCCGGUGACUCGGGGAGAAUAAAUAUAAGAUCUGAAAUU